UACGGAGGGGGUUAGCGUUGUUCGGAAUCACUGGGCGUAAAGGGAGCGUAGGCUGUACGGUAAGUCAGAUGUGAAAUCCCGGGGCUCAACCCCGGAACUGCAUCCGAUACUGCCGUACUAGAGGAUUGGAGAGGUAGCUGGAAUUCACGGUGUAGCAGUGAAAUGCGUAGAUAUCGUGAGGAACACCAAUGGCGAAAGCAAGCUACUGGACAACUCCUGACGCUGAGGCUCGAAGGCCAGGGUAGCGAACAGG
rnacentral:rRNA from 1 species